GACGAACGCUGGCGGCGUGCCUAAUACAUGCAAGUAGAACGCUGAAGGAGGAGCUUGCUUCUCUGGAUGAGUUGCGAACGGGUGAGUAACGCGUAGGUAACCUGCCUGGUAGCGGGGGAUAACUAUUGGAAACGAUAGCUAAUACCGCAUAAGAGUAGAUGUUGCAUGACAUUUGCUUAAAAGGUGCAAUUGCAUCACUACCAGAUGGACCUGCGUUGUAUUAGCUAGUUGGUGGGGUAACGGCUCACCAAGGCGACGAUACAUAGCCGACCUGAGAGGGGGAUCGGCCACACUGGGAAUGAGACACGGCCCAGACUCCUACGGGAGGGAGCAGUAGGGAAUCUUCGGCAAUGGACGGAAGUCUGACCGAGCAACGCCGCGUGAGUGAAGAAGGUUUUCGGAUCGUAAAGCUCUGUUGUAAGAGAAGAACGAGUGUGAGAGUGGAAAGUUCACACUGUGACGGUAUCUUACCAGAAAGGGACGGCUAACUACGUG
rnacentral:rRNA from 1 species